AAAAGAAUAGGAUUACUUUGUUAUCCUAUAACUUUUGGCAUGGAUGAGCACUCCACUGGCCCAGUAGGUUCACAUGAGUCAGUUCAUGCACAUCAUAUUCAACAAGAACAGAUGCAUGAAAAUGAACAGUCACAAGGAAAAGCUGAAGGGUAUGCUC